UGAGGAAUAUUGGGUCAAUGGGCGCAGGCCUGAACCAGCCAAGUCGCGUGAGGGAAGACGGUCCUACGGAUUGUAAACCUCUUUUGUCGGGGAGUAAAGUGUGGGACGUGUCCCAUAUUGCAGGUACCGCAUGAAUAAGGACCGGCUAAUUCCGUGCCAGCAGCCGCGGUAAUACGGAAGGUCCGGGCGUUAUCCGGAUUUAUUGGGUUUAAAGGGAGCGUAGGCCGGAGAUUAAGCGUGUUGUGAAAUGCCGCGGCUCAACCGUGGCACUGCAGCGCGAACUGGUUUUCUUGAGUGCGCGCGACGCAGGCGGAAUUCGUGGUGUAGCGGUGAAAUGCUUAGAUAUCACGAGGAACCCCGAUUGCGAAGGCAGCUUGCGGGAGCGCAACUGGCGCUGAAGCUCG
rnacentral:rRNA from 1 species